rnacentral:rRNA from 1 species
AUGGGGUGCAGCAGGCGCGGAACCUCCGCAAUACACGAAAGUGUGACGGGGUUACCCAAAGUGUUCAUUAUUGAACUGUGGUAGGUGAGUAAUGUUCCCUACUAGAAAGGAGAGGGCAAGGCUGGUGCCAGCCGCCGCGGUAAAACCAGCUCUUCAAGUGGUCGGGAUGAUUAUUGGGCUUAAAGUGUCCGUAGCCGGUUUAGUAAGUUCCUGGUAAAAUCGGGUAGCUUAACUAUCCGUAUGCUAGGAAUACUGCUAUACUAGAGGGCGGGAGAGGUCUGAGGUACUAUAGGGGUAGGGGUGAAAUCCUAUAAUCCUUGUAGGACCACCAGUGGCGAAGGCGUCAGACUGGAACGCGCCUGACGGUGAGGGACGAAAGCCAGGGGAGCGAACCGGAUUAGAUACCCGGGUAGUCCUGGCCGUAAACGAUGCAUACUAGGUGAUGGCAUGGCCAUGAGCCGUGUCAGUGCCGUAGGGAAACCGUUAAGUGUGCCGCCUGGGAAGUACGGUCGCAAGGCUAAAACUUAAAGGAAUUGGCGGGGGAGCAC